UGAAGAUUGAACUCAGGGUUUUAUACUGAGCUACAUUCCCAGCCCUUCCUAAGGGGUUGAUAAAUUGGUUGAACUACUUUGACAUCACUGUGGACAACAGGAAUCAGACCAAAAUGCACUUGAAUGGUUAAGCGUGUGGUUACAAGGAAGAAGCUUUUCUGGAAAGAAAGCUGAGGGGAAAGGACAGUUCAUGGAUGGGCAGGAGAAAGGACACAUGCCAACCCUGUGUAACACCACUGUCUCCUCUUCAGGUCCCAGCUGACCAGGUGCACAUAGUACAGGGCAAAUAAAAUCCUCA